rnacentral:rRNA from 1 species
GAUGAACGCUGACAGAAUGCUUAACACAUGCAAGUCUUUGGCGAAGCUGUGCUUGCACAGCCUAGCCAAGGCGGACGGGUGAGUAACGCGUAAGGAACUUGCCCUGCAGUCAGGGAUAACAGACGGAAACGACUGAUAAGACCUGGUAAAGUCAGGCGGACUCAUGUCCAGCCUGAUGAAAAGAGAUGCUGCAGGAGAGCCUUGCGUCCUAUUAGCUUGUUGGUUGGGUAACGGCCCACCAAGGCGAUGAUAGGUAGCCGGCCUGAGAGGGUGGACGGCCACAAGGGGACUGAGAUACGGCCCUUACUCCUACGGGAGGCAGCAGUGGGGAAUAUUGGACAAUGGGGGCAACCCUGAUCCAGCAAUUCUGUGUGCACGAUGAAGGUUUUCGGAUUGUAAAGUGCUUUCAGCAGGGAAGAAAAAAAUGACGGUACCUGCAGAAGAAGCGACGGCUAAAUACGUG